CAUUAUUUUCUUCGGUGAAUUAUAACAGUCAAACUUUAAUUUCAAAUAAUUUUACAUUUGUUUACUAUAACCAGUAUCAGCUUAAAAUUUUCUGGUUUUUUUCUCAAUUUAAGUGGAUGUUUGUCAUCCGGUGAUCAAAACUUCACUUAUGAGACGAAAUCUGUAUUUUCUCUAUUUGACGUUUACAUCCUGUGGUUUUUGAGGCAAUAUUGCGUACCUAUAUGUUACGAGGCUUAAUUUAGGUAGUGGUGAAUCGUUACAUCAAUUGUAAUUAUCUAUACAAUUGUCUUAAUUUGCAUCGUUCUGUUUCCAAGUUCUCUUCUUUCUUCAGCCUCUCUUCAGUUGUUUACUGUUCGUAUUCGUUGUCUUGUUUCGUUGUUAGCUUUCUACAACUUUCAUACAUAAUUUUUACUUCGUAGUGAGUCCACUCGAUCAUAGAUUAAGUAAGAACAGCCGGAUGUGUAACUUCAGUAAAAAAGUUGUCUCACUGUCACCAUCUUCAUGAUAGCAAGUGUCGCUCACGUGAUAAUUCGUCAUUUGGUAAUACCUCAUUGCUUUCAAAAAAGCUUUCAACACCUUUUC